CUCGAGUCUACCGUGAAAUACGGGAGGCGUCGGUAAAGUUUAGCUUUGUCCAAGCUCUUUUUCUGUGAAAGCUGUGGCUGAGAGCAGAGAGACGAUUCAGGCCUAGUGGAGCUGGAACUUCGGCGUGGGCCAGAGACAGGUGGUUCACCUGUCCGGAGCACGCCAGAGGUAAAAUGGCUGACGCGGAGGCCAGGACGGACGAAGGGAUCCAGCGGAGCAGCCGCGACCGUUUGGGAAAGAGGCACCGCGCUUGGCUUCGCUCAUCGGCUCUACACUUACGUGUGUGUGUGUGAUCUGAGUGUUGGAGGUGCAGGCUUGCGUCUUUAGCUCGGUUGAGAUGGACUUUGUAACCAGUACAGCCGCUUUGGAGUUAGGGACUGGCCAAGUGUUGGCAGGGCUUAGUUGUGGAUGGAUUCAGUGUGUGGAAGGCACUCGGGCCUGCUUAUGUUUGGAGCGCGCGUUUGCUUUUGCUGGGCCGUUUCGUCGGUGUUGUCGGUCUGUGGAAGCAUAAAUGCAGUUGUGAUCCGGACACAACUGUGUAUAUGUGGAAGCAGAUAGUGUUGGCAGUACGGGUUGAGUUGCGUGUUGUGUUGUCGGUGUAGGGUGUGUGUUCAGCAGUGUGUGUUCCUGAGGUAGGCCAUUAGCUGCACCUUGAAGCGUUGCAGAAUGUUUAAUAUCCAAAGCCUGUGUGUGUGUGCAUGAGCUUUCUCUGCAGGAAGGAUGAGCUGCUCCAGAUGAUCAUCAGAGGCAGGUAGCUGCAUCUGGCUGAGUGGGACUCCAGCUUGGAUGAAGCCAUGGCCAGUGUGGAGCACAGGUAGCCCCCCCUGCUGCAUGUUGAAUGGAUGGAGGAGCAGCUGAUCCAGAGAACCAUGAGGAUGCAUGUUGGCCAACACUGCUCAG